CUUAUUCGAACGCAGCUUUGAUUUGACAAGCUUGUUUGCUGCUUGGCUUGUUUGUUUGUUUAAACUCCACAAGAAAUUGGAAAUGUUUUAUAAUUUUAAAAGUUGUUGACAACGCGCAAUAAUUUAAUAAUAUUAAAAUGGGUUGUACUCAAAGUGAAAUAUCACCUCAAAAUGAAACACCAAGAAAAGGUUGUACCGAUGUGUUGUGGCUGAUUAUUUAUAUCUUAUUUUGGAUAUUAAUGAUAAUCGUAGCUGCGAUAUCUUUCGUGUACGGAAAUCCUUUACGAGUAAUUAAUGGAUUUGAUUCGUUUGGGAAUACAUGUGGAGUGAAAAGCAACUACAAGCUAACAGCAGCACCUGUGUCUGGAAUAAGUACCAUUGACAAAAAGUAUCUAUUUUUCAUGGAUGUAAAAGAGCUUCAAAGGUCCCUCAAAAUAUGUGUGAAAGAAUGUCCUAAUAAGAAAUUGGAGUCAAUGGCUGAUAUACAGAAUUUCUAUAAGGAGACUGGAUCAAACCUUUGCCGUUAUGAUAUUAAUUUGAACUCAUUGGCUAGUAAUAGGGAUGUAUCUAACAACUACAUAGGGCCAUGUCCAACUCUGCCAGUGUAUGAGACAUUCCCACUACUAAAUAGAUGCUUCCCAAAGUCAGCAAAGGAACUUACUAAGAAAGUAUUCAAUGACUUUUAUGAUCUACUGAACAGUUGGGACACUAUUGAGCAGAUGCUCUCAGAUCUUUACUCAUCAUGGAAGGAGAUGAUUAUUUGUGUCAUUAUUGCAUUUAUAUGUUCUCUAAUUAUGGUCUCAAUAUUGCAUUUAUUGGCAACUCUGGUGUCGUGGAUAUUCAUGAUAUUGGUGUCGAUAGCCAGUGUGGCAGGAACAGCACUAUUAUGGUACACAUACUAUGAACUGAAGAAUAAACACAAGACCUUUGAAACUGCAUAUUUGGCUGAAUCCCUAAAGAAUGAGAGCGCGUUUUUGUGGUAUUCAAUUAUAGCCACUAUAAUAACGGUGAUUUUGCUCCUGCUUGUGUUUGUGAUGCGCUCCCGCGUGUCUUUCUUGGCAGCCCUAUUCAGGGAGACGGCUCACUGCCUCGGAUCCAUUCCCGCCCUUUUCCUACAACCUAUCAUCACAUUCUUCAUCCUUGUGCUAUUUUUAGCAUUUUGGUCCAUUGUAGUGGUCUGUCUAGCCACAGCAAAUUAUCCCGGAAUACCACUGCAGACAAAUUUCCUAAUCAAUGGAUCUACUACGACGGAGUUCGAUUCCCUUAAUAAACCGGCUAUUGAUACCCACAACGGCAAUUCUACUUUGAAAACUUUCGCGCUGGAGAAUAUUCAGUUCGAUCCAAUGUGGGUGAAGAGCAUGUGGUGGAUAUGUUUGAUCUGCCUCGUGUGGGGCAGUGAGUUCAUCCUCGGCUGCCAACAGAUGACCAUCGCUGGAGCCGUGUCUCAUUGGUAUUUUAGAGGACCAAACGCAAACUCACCGGUUUUAUAUUCCAUCGGCAAACUUAUCAAGUACCAUCUGGGUUCUGUCGCCAAGGGAUCCUUCCUGAUUACACUGUUCAAGAUACCUCGCCUCAUUUUGACUUAUUUGCAUGCCAAGUUGUCAGCUAGAGCAGAAAAGGGCUCGGAAUGCGCAAAAUGUGGUCUCAAGUGCGGUAUCUGCUGCUUCUAUUGUCUUGAAAAGUUCAUUCGGUACCUGAAUCACAACGCCUACACUAUCAUUACCAUUGAGAGAUGCCACUUCUGUAAGGCGGCUGGAAAGGCAUUCAGCACAAUAGUGAACAACGCACUCCAGGUGGCGACUAUAAACAGUGUGGGCGACUUCAUCCUGUUCCUUGGCAAGUGCAUAGUGACUGCUGUCACCGGCAUCAUUGGUCUACUGCUCCUCAAACGAAACUCUGACCUCCACUUCUUUGCUGUUCCCACAUUAGUCAUCUGUAUCUACUCGUUCUUCAUUGCACACUGUAUACUUUCUCUUUACGAGAUGGUAGUUGAUUCACUGUUCCUAUGCGUGUGUGAAGAUCGCAAUAUGAAUGGCAACGACGGCAGAUGGAAGAACUCUCGUUUGGCGGAACUUGGCGGGCAUAAGGGAGAUAAAUACGACGAACAAGAUGGCGCCGAGCUGCAGGACGUGCCAGACAAGUAUUAGCUCGAAGCCUGUUGUCCUUGGGGCUUUGCAUGUCCUAUCAGUGCCUUAUUGUGGAUGCUGGCUGCAGAUUAUGUAAUUUUGGCAGUUGAAUUAGAAAUAAGAAGAAUCUUUUACGCUUUUACUCAGACUCAGUAUUUGCAUUUUUUUAUUUAUUAUUAAUAAUAAUUAAUAUUUUAUAAGCACAUUGACACCGUGAUUUGACGGCACAUUAUUUGUGUGAAUCACUUUUUGUGACUUUUAAUAACUUUCAUAAUAAUGUUGGUGCAAUGCUAGUAGGUAUAAGCUAUUUUGGCAUAAUAUUUUUCUAAUACUAUAGAUUAUAGAUACUUACUAAUAUAUAAAAUAUCUGUUUUAUGAAUGUUUACAUGAAUUUUAGAAAAGUUUAUAAAGUGCUCUAGAUAUUAUUUUUGUGUACCUAAUGUUGCGAACUACGUAUUUCUUGAUAUUUUAUUAUUAUUAUAUGAGUGCAUAAUAAAUAAUUAAUUGUAGUCCGAAUAAGCAUAAUAUGUUAUACGCAGAUUUUAUUCUAGAUAGUAUGAAUGUUGAAUAAAUCGAUAUUUUUUUCGUAAAUGUAAGAAUAUCAAAGUACACAGUACUUACACUGUUGAGUGUAAAUUUUAGCACAAAUGAAUUGGAUAGCACAAAGUACCUAAAUAAGAGUUUCACUUAAAGUUAUAUGUUUAUUUGACAUUGCAUCAUGCAUUCCAGUGCUUAGAUCUUACUGUAUGCUUUUGCAGUUUGUUUUUUAUUUAAUGACUUUGACUAUUGUCUUCAAAUCAAUUAAUUUAUUGCUUUUUUACAUAAAUGUUUUGCUACUAAGGCUAAUAUAAAGUACAAUUUUUGAUAUUAUAUUUUUCUAGUACCUACUAAGUAAUAAUGUUACGUUUUUAACAAUACUUUAUAAUAAUUAAUCAAAUACACAUUAUUGAAUACUUUAAUCAUGUUGUGACGCAUAAUUACGUUAAAUGCAUAGUUUUAUUAAAUCCAGAUUAUACAGAUUUUUUUAAAUAGGGUGCUCAAUUUUUUAUCAAGUUUUAUGAUAGUGUUUUAGCAUAAUUUGAUUAGUUUCAUUUUUUUAAAUGAAUUUGACCGUCCAUAAUUUAAAAUAGGACUUAUCCAAUCAUCCAGCAUAAUAAUUUUACGUAAUAUGAGAUAAAAUAAUGUAUAUUUUGUGAAUCUCCCCAUGAUCUUUGUUUUAAGUACAUUAAAUGCUGUUUGCGUAACUAUAAUUAUGUAUUUAGAAAAUAGUUUGUUUUACAUAAGUACCUCAGUGUUAUCUCGAAUUUCAGAAGAUCUAAUCAAAUGACGAAAUCUAUACUUUUGAUUGUAUGCCAUAAAUGCUCUUCCGUAAUAGAAUGUAAGGAAUUUGGUUUUACCUAUCCAUAGAUAUAUACAAAAUAAAAAUCAUUGUGUGGAAAAUAAAGUUUUAUUAUUAUGAUUUA